UACGUAGGGGGCAAGCGUUGUCCGGAUUUAUUGGGCGUAAAGAGCGUGUAGGCGGCCAGGUAGGUCUGGUGUGAAAACUCGAGGCUCAACCUCGAGAGGUCAUCGGAAACCAUUUGGCUAGAGUCCGGAAGAGGAGAGUGGAAUUCCCGGUGUAGCGGUGAAAUGCGCAGAUAUCGGGAAGAACACCUAUGGCGAAGGCAGCUCUCUGGGACGGUACUGACGCUGAGACGCGAAAGCGUGGGGAGCGAACAGG
rnacentral:rRNA from 1 species